rnacentral:rRNA from 1 species
CCUACGGGAGGCUGCAGUGGGGAAUAUUGGACAAUGGGGGGAACCCUGAUCCAGCCAUGCCGCGUGUGUGAAGAAGGCCCUCGGGUUGUAAAGCACUUUCAGUGAGGAAGAACGCCUGUUGGUUAAUACCCAUCAGGAAAGACAUCACUCACAGAAGAAGCACCGGCUAACUCCGUGCCAGCAGCCGCGGUAAUACGGAGGGUGCGAGCGUUAAUCGGAAUUACUGGGCGUAAAGCGCGCGUAGGUGGCUUGAUAAGCCGGUUGUGAAAGCCCCGGGCUCAACCUGGGAACGGCAUCCGGAACUGGCAAGCUAGAGUGCAGGAGAGGAAGGCAGAAUUCCCGGUGUAGCGGUGAAAUGCGUAGAGAUCGGGAGGAAUACCAGUGGCGAAGGCGGCCUCCUGGACUGACACUGACACUGAGGUGCGAAAGCGUGGGUAGCAAACAGGAUUAGAUACCCUGGUAGUC